ACGGUUAUAAAUCAACAUAUUGAUUUAUAAGCAUGGAAAUCCCCUGAGUGAAACAACGAAUUGCUGUGUGUAGUCUUUGCCCAUCUCCCAAGAUGGGCUUUUUUUUAA
rnacentral:other from 1 species